rnacentral:sRNA from 1 species
AGCAAUUAGUUUGGUAAUCUCAAGGGUGGUCAGCAUUACCCCGUAAUGGAAGGGGGCGAUGCCUAUGAUGACAACGUUUCAAGCUUUAACGCUAAUGAUCGCAUUUGGCUGCUUGAUAGUAUCUGUCAUAUCUCUAAUAAACAAAAAGUAAUCCACCCUUGAGACCGUCAGCAACUUUAGGUGGAUUACUACUUAUUACGCUGAUACCCUUCUUGUAGGGACCAACGAUUGCUUCGACCGUGAGUGUUACCAGCACCCACG